rnacentral:rRNA from 1 species
AAGUAAAGGUAAUUCCAGCUCCAAUAGCGUAUAUUAAAGUUGUUGCAGUUAAAAAGCUCGUAGUUGAAUUUUGGGUUUGGCCAAUUGGUCCGUUCUUGUAACGAGUACUGGUUGGUUGGGCCUCACCGCCUGGUGAUACGUAAUGUCCUUUAUUGGGUGUUGCGAGUAGCCAGGACCUUUACCUUGAAAAAAUUAGAGUGUUUAAAGCAGGCUUAUGCCGGAAUACAUUAGCAUGGAAUAAUAGAAUAGGACGAUGAUUCUAUUUUGUUGGUUUCUAGGAGCAUCGUAAUGAUUAAUAGGGAUAGUUGGGGGCAUUAGUAUUCAAUUGUCAGAGGUGAAAUUCUUGGAUUUAUUGAAGACUAACUACUGCGAAAGCAUUUGCCAAGGAUGUUUUCAUUAAUCAAGAACGAAAGUUAGGGGAUCGAAGACGAUCAGAUACCGUCGUAGUCUUAACCAUAAACUAUGCCGACUAGGGAUCGGGCGAUGUUGUUUCAAUGACUCGCUCGGCACCUUAUG